GUUGAAGAACGUAGCGAAAUGCGAUAAGUAGUGUGAAUUGCAGAAUUCAGUGAAUCAUCGAAUCUUUGAACGCACAUUGCGCCCCUUGGUAUUCCAUGGGGCAUGCCUGUUCGAGCGUCAUUUGUACCUUCAAGCUCUGCUUGGUGUUGGGUGUUUGUCUCGCCUCUGCGUGUAGACUCGCCUCAAAACAAUUGGCAGCCGGCGUAUUGAUUUCGGAGCGCAGUACAUCUCGCGCUUUGCACUCAUAACGACGACGUCCAAAAGUACAUUUUUACACUCUUGACCUCGGAUCAGGUAGGGAUACCCGCUGAACUUAAGCAUAUCAAUAAGCGGAGGA
rnacentral:misc_RNA from 1 species